rnacentral:misc_RNA from 1 species
CGACUCUAAGCCGUACAUUCCAUCUCCUCAACACCCACUCGCUUCCUUCUGCUCUCACCUAUUACUUCGCCAGCCCACAUAUCUGCUAUAACCUGCCCUCCCCCACCCGCUUCCCACACAUCCGCCACCGCUACGAAGCCUCGAGCUCCCCCAGCGACCCUCUCGGCAACGCGAGCGCCCCAGUCCCCCCACGCACAACUUUGACCGAGCACAAUGAAGAUCCGCAGCGUGCGUCCGCUUGUGGUGUUGCUGGUGUGCGUCGCGGCGGUGCUCGCACUCAGCGCCUCCGCUGAGCCGCACAAGGCGGCCGUUGACGUCGGCCCGCUCUCCGUUGGCCCGCAGUCCGUCGGCCCGCUCUCUGUUGACGUUGGCCCGCAGGCUGUUGGCCCGCUCUCUGUUGACGUUGGCCCGCAGGCUGUUGGCCCGCUCUCUGUUGACGUUGGCCCGCAGGCUGUUGCCCCGCUCUCCGUUGGUCCGCAGUCCGUCGGCCCGCUCUCUGUUGGUCCGCAGUCCGUCGGCCCGCUCUCCGUUGGCCCGCAGUCCGUCGGCCCGCUCUCUGUUGACGUUGGCCCGCAGGCUGUUGGCCCGCUCUCUGUUGACGUUGGCCCGCAGGCUGUUGCCCCGCUCUCCGUUGGUCCGCAGUCCGUCGGCCCGCUCUCUGUUGGUCCGCAGUCCGUCGGCCCGCUCUCCGUUGGCCCGCAGGCUGUUGGCCCGCAGGCUGUUGGCCCGCUCUCCGUUGGCCCGCAGGCUGUUGGCCCGCUCUCCGUUGGCCCGCAGCGUCGGCCCUCUCGUUGGCCCGCAGGCUGUUGGCCCGCUCUCUGUUGACGUUGGCCCGCAGUCCGUUGGCCCGCUCUCCGUUGGCCCGCAGGCUGUUGGCCCGCUCUCCGUUGGCCCGCAGGCUGUUGGCCCGCUCUCUGUUGGCCCGCAGCGUUGGCCCGCUCUCGUUGGCCGCAGUCCGUCGGCCCGCUCUCCGUUGGUCCGCAGGCUGUUGGCCCGCUCUCCGUUGGCCCGCAGGCUGUUGGCCCGCUCUCUGUUGGCCCGCAGUCCGUUGGCCCGCUCUCUGUUGGCCCGCAGGCUGUUGGCCCGCUCUCCGUUGGCCCGCAGGCUGUUGGCCCGCUCUCUGUUGGCCCGCAGGCUGUUGGCCCGCUCUCUGUUGGCCCGCAGUCCGUUGGCCCGCUCUCCGUUGGCCCGCAGUCCGUUGGCCCGCUCUCCGUUGGCCCGCAGGCUGUUGGCCCGCUCUCCGUUGGCCCGCAGUCUGUUGGCCCGCUCUCCGUUGGCCCGCAGUCCGUCGGCCCGCUCUCCGUUGGCCCGCAGGCUGUUGGCCCGCUCUCUGUUGGCCCGCAGUCCGUGGCCGCUCUCUGUUGGCCCGCAGUCCGUUGGCCCGCUCUCCGUUGGCCCGCAGUCCGUUGGCCCGCUCUCCGUUGGCCCGCAGUCUGUUGGCCCGCUCUCCGUUGGCCCGCAGGCUGUUGGCCCGCUCUCCGUUGGCCCGCAGGCUCCGUUGGCCCGCAGUCCGUUGGCCCGCUCUCCGUUGGCCCGCAGUCCGUCGGCCCGCUCUCCGUUGGUCCGCAGUCCGUUGGCCCGCUCUCCGUUGGCCCGCAGUCCGUUGACGUUUCUCCGGUGUCUUAAGGCUCGGCGUCCGCUUUCCGGUGUGCGUAAAAGUAUAUGCCAUGAGGCAUGGUGACGAGGCAAACCUUGUCAGCAAUGUGGCAUUAUCGUACGCGUGCAAGAGCAACAGCAGAGCUGAGUGUUCAGGUGGCCACAGCACCACGCUCCUGUGACACUCCGUGGGGUGUGUGUGACCUUGGCUGCUGUUGCCAGGCGGAUGAACUGCGAGGGCCACAGCAGCGCAAGUGCCGCUUCCAACCUUGCGACUUUCACGCCACAGACGCAUAGCAGCGCCCUGCCUGUCGCGGCGCAUGCGGGCAAGCCAUCUAGAUGCGCCUCUCCACGACAUGGCCGGAGGCGGCAGAUGAAGGCAGCGACCCCUUUUCCCCGGCCACGACGCCGCGCUGAGGCGGGCCCCACAGCGCAGAACUGCGAGCGCGGUGCGCGGGCGCUGUGACGCACAGCCGGCACGCAGCGUACCGCACGCAGACAGUGCAUGGGGAGGCCGGAGGAGCAAGAGCGGUGGACGGGAACGGCGCGAAGCAUGCGGCACGCCCUCGAUGUGCCUGUGUGGGCUGAUGAGGCGCGGAUGCCGGAAGCGUGGCGAGGGCAUCCCGAGUUGCACCGUCGAGUCCUCCAGGCCCGAAUGUGGCGAGCCUGCGGGGAGCAGAUUAUGGGAUGCGGCUGCUCGAAGCGACCGAGGGCGCUGACCGGAAGGUGGCCGACUUCCUCCUCGGGCCUGUGCGGCAUGCGCCCUCGAUCGGGAGCCCGAAUGGUGGCCGCGCGGGUGAAGGCGUGCCGCCCACCCGCGUCUCCGUGUGGCGCCGCUGGGGGCAGGUGCGCUGUGGCUGUGUAUGUGCGCUGAUGUGCUGACUUGUUCGUGGUGGGCUAUGGGCACGGUGAGGGGCGACGUUGGCCCUUGCUGACUUCCUCUGCUUUCUUAUUAUUCUCAGUGCCCCCGCUGGAUUGGGCUGCAUCGGCGGUCUGUAUCGCGCUUGUCUCUCUCAUUUGACGGCUGCGCCCUCCCGCCCCUCCCACUCGUGCUGUGGGAUGGAGGCACGGCCGGGCUCUGUGUUGUGUGCACCGCGUGCAAGAAUUCAGAUGAGGGACUGCCGAGCGAGCAGACAAAGCAGCAGCAGCAACAGGAAGGCAGGCCUGAGCACGUUUUCUUUUCUCUCUUGAGACUGCGGACUACGGGAAUCAGAGACGUCGUCAGAGACGCGCAUCCGCACCCGCGCGCUAUGCUUCCUCGUUCUCUCUCCCGCCCCAUUCUGUGCGCCUGCCUGUCUGCGUGUCGCGAGCGCCGUUGCCGGCGGUCUCUCUCCCCUCCCUUCGCUUCUCUCUUGCAAGCGCUUCCUUUUUCACAGCCGAACGUUGCUGCUCGCCUGGAGGCCGUUCCCCCUCUUAUCAUCUCUGCAUUUAUUUUUACACGUGCUUUUGCUUUGGCUUCCUGACGAUGCCGGCCACCUCACCGCGGUGUCAGGGCCCAGCGCCCACUCUUUGUGGGCAGGCCAAGUAGCCUGCAGCCUGCCCAUGAGCACGGCUGUGGACUCUUGGUGCCAGCGGACAGGUGUGGGCUGGCGCUGUGCCGGUGACACCAACGGUCAUGAUGACGCUUGGACCAGCUCACUGCGGAUCAUGCCGACGAUUCAACGAAUGCGCGCAUCCACCUACUGCCUUUCUGCCUUUGCUGCGCUGCGGUGGUGCUGAGCGUGGUCCCGGGGCCUAGCCUGCGCUGUACGCAGCGGCAUUGCGGUGGGCUGAGCGGCGCCAGGCGGUGCUGGCCGGCCCUGCUGCUUGGCAUAGCCGUGGCGUGCAGCAGAUGCGGAUGGGCUGUGGCUGCGCAUGCGUGUGUGCGUUGACUUGUUCGUGGUGGGCGGGCACGUAAACGGCAAAAUGCGCUUUGGCGUUCCGGCGCCAGCCUCCGGCGCUGGUGCGGUAUUCGAAUACGCGCCUGAAGAGGUGGCGAGGAAAAUGGCACGAGGCGCAGAGGGAAAAAACGAAAAGUGCAAAGUGCGCAAACCGCGCAGAAAAUGCGGAGGAGGACUGAGACUGCUGACAUGCGUGAGCGCUGCAUUGCGGCGGGGGGCUGGAGCGGAGUGCAACGCCGUACACUCACACAGAUACACGCGCCAGUGUGCCUCGCAGGCUCCCCCUGCUCGUCACCGGCGUGCGCUGCUCUUU